AGUUUAAUAGUUUAAAUAAAAUUUAAAUUUUGUAAAUUUAAGAUAAAUAAAAAAUUUUUAAACUU
rnacentral:tRNA from 1 species